UUGUGUCAUUGCUAGGUCUGCCCCUCGUGCCACCCCAAUCGUGAAAGCAGUGCAACGUGCUAGUGAUAAAGUCACUGAAAAAGAGAUGAGGGAAUUGAAAAUAAAAUUCAAUGCAGCCUACAUGACUCUGAGCCUGAAUAAGCAGGAAACAACUAAUUGUACAUAGUAGAAUAAGAAAGUGAAAAAAAAAUAAUCAAAUGACUGGACAUUUAAGUAUUUACGGUAAUAUGAUUCAAUAUGAUGUACUGAACAUUGCACAUAUUGUGUAUGUAAAGAAUACAUUGUGUAAACUAUGGGAGGCAGAGUAAACAAAGGCAGACAGUACAGAGGGGAAAGAAAAGGCAGUGUGAGGUAGCCAUUUAACAAUGAUAUCAUCAUAUGUCAUAUGACAUCACUAUAUUUUGGAUCCUGAAAAUUUGAUUUGGCGCCAAAAUAUUUUGGGUUUAGGAGCCAACGGUUCCUAGAUUAUUUUUUUUUGCCUGGAGCCCUGUUCCAAAUUGUUCUUUGGCUAUGCCCCAUGUUUGUGCAAUGGCUCAGACCGGUUUUUCCUCUUUUCGCAGCUUCAAAAUGGCUUGCUUUUCUCCCAUAGACAGCUCUCUGGUCUCCAUGUCGGUUUAUUCUUUUUAACAACAAAUGCUGUCUCCACAGGUGAAACCCAGGGCUCAAACCAAGAGAAGACAUUCAGAGCUAUUCAUUCUUUAAAGUCCAUUUAACAAGUUUCCUUCUGCUUCUGAGUUCAAAGAGCUUUUUCUCAUCCCCAUCCUGGAGUGCCCCUACAGCUGCCUGUUUGGUACAUUCCUCUACAGCAGUGAGCAGGAGAGAAUGGAAAAGGAAGUACAGGGUAAAACGGUCACUGCGGUCCUACAUUAAGUCAGCCGGAGGACUUCACUAACCCGUUCUAUGUGGACUGUAAAAACCAGGUGCUGUAUCCACUGGCCAGUCUCACACAUCUGGAGUUCUGGGUGGGUUAUUAUGUGCGCUGGAACCCACGCAUGAGACCACAGAUGCCGCUCCAUCAGAAUUUGAGAGAGUUAUUGUUUUUGCGUGAAGAACGUGGAGGAGCUCCAGAGAGAGGCCACGUCAUCCUGCUCCAUCUCCUCAUCCUCAGAGCAUACUUCUCCCUCCUCACAUAGUGGUACACCACUUCACACUGCCGUCUAAAUACAAACGCACGCACACACACACACACACACACACAAAUUUAAGAGCACACACUGUCUUUACUCAAUGAAUACACUCUCAGGCACAAGUAGGGAGUGGAUGAGUAUGAAGAGGACACACACACACACACACACACACACACACACAUUCCUGUUUGCAAUUUUUUUUAACUAUAGAGAAGUAACCUAGUGUCACAUUUUAUAAAUCCUUAAUACUUAAAAAUGGAUCUUGGAAUGAUAGUCAGCAUGUCUGCAGCAUGAAUUCAUAAUAUUUACGAUCUAGUAUUUGACCUGUAAAUAUGUAAAAAAGAGAAGUAUUCAUAUAUUUGUCCUUACACGUCAUGUUCAUCUUUCCCUGUGGCCUCAUUUGCUCCUCUGUGCCAACUCCCUUUCAUCUUUUAACAUUUCAAUUGUUGGCUCAAAUUCAGCCUAUUACCCAAAAACAUUUAAAACUCAACUUAGAAGCCCAUACUCACAUCUACCUCUGAGCCCAGUUGGAGAUAGAAAAAAAUACACCAGCCGUGAGUGAGAAGAAGCAAGGGUCCAGCUUUAUUGUUCCGUUCCACCACACGAGAUCCACACCGAUGAGAAUUCUCAGAAGUGAUCCCAAUACCCUGAGCUUAAGCUCCAGUAUUUAUACUGUAUUUACACACUAAAUAACCCAUAGGUUUCAAAAAGACUAUGAUCUCACUACCAAUAGGGUUAAAAAAGAGCUCAUUUACCUUACUCUUAUGUUCCAGAAAAGGGCGAUUUCACUUACACAUAGAAUUGAAACCAGGGGUUUUAAUUUACCCAUGAAAUCAGAACCCAGGCAUUUCCAAUAACCCAGAAAAUAAAAACCCAGAGUUUCUAGUUACUCAGAGGAUCAGAAACCAGAAUUAUUCAGUUACCUAGAGCGUCAGAAACCAGGAUUCUCAUUUACCUUAGGUGGUCAGAAACCAGGAUUCUCAAUUACCUAGGGAAAUAAAAUGACGUAGACAA